AAUAACCGCACAUACUAAUUUGAAUUGAGCCCGUUACUGCAUCUCUUUCAACAUGUUCGGGCUAAGUAUCUUUGUGUAUUUCCUAAUGUGGUUAACACAGAAGUUAUCCGAGUUACCCAGUCCUCCGCCACCAGAGCAGGAGCCAACUUACGCUCCUGAUCGUCACUUGCCACCAGUUCAAAAACCUAUUUUGCCAGGAUAAAAAUAACAAAUUGGGAAGACUAUGUUAUAAAUACAUACUGUUGAAAGCAAUAAACCUUUAGCGUAAUCUAAA